GUUUAGCAAGACGGACGCGCUAAUUUUUUUUAGGUACCGUAGUUUAGAAGGACCGUCCCGAUAAAACUUGUUUUUCUAGAAUGUAGUUUAUGGGUACUUUGCAAAAAUUUGUGCGUUCGCGCGGAACGCGAUUUAUAUAUAUAAUAUGUGUAUAACAUGUUUCUGGAAUGGAAUAGUACCGAUCGCUUAAUACGCGUAUUAAGUACUAUAUUAAUAUUAAAUCGGCUUGGUUUCAACGAUGUAAACGAUGCUGUAUUCAGAUGAUACGAUACGCUUUUUUCACGCGUAUUGUAUCAAAAUGAUACGCGUAUUAAGCAUGGUUAUAAUGAUUAACAGUAGUAAUGUUUGAAAUAAGUUUUCAUCAAAAAGACGUAGAAUGGCGUAUGGACUAGCUGUAUAGGUCCAUUGAGCCAAAAGAGCACCAAACCUAACCUAUCGUUGCCUGUAAAGAACUCCCGGCCGCUUUCAGCUGCUAUACGGACGGAUUCGAGAUCUAAGCCUCAAAGUAUAUGAUAAAAGAAUGAAUCAACUCAUUCAAGUUGCAAGAAUGAAUUCACGUAUGAAACGGACCGCAGCUAAGAUGAAGCGGAUGUACAGUAUGGACUAGGUGUAUUAUUCAACUUGUCCGACAAGUAUGACAAAGUUGUCGAUUGUUUCCAAGCAGCGUUAGAAAUACCUCUUGAUAAUUCAGAAUUUAUUGUGGAACAAUAUCGGUGCAACACUGGUCAGCUAGUAGUCAGUGAUCUGCUGAAGCUACAAACUAAUCAUGUCUUAGAUUUGUCACUAUUAUCACAUUUAUUAGAGUGUAUUACAAUCUCGGUAUGUCUUGCGUCAAUCUCUGAGCAUAGAGAGGGGAGAGCAUUUUUCAAGCCUUAGAUUUACAAGCGUCUACACUGGCUAAUGAUCGCUGAUCAUUAUGUUGAGUGUUCCGAUCAUUUAUUCUCAUAUUUAAACCACAUAAUUCAACUAUCUUGUUUUUUGUCUGGUUCAUUUUAUCUUUUCUUGCAAUCAGUAAACCACUGAAAAAGAUUUUCAUUCGAAACGUCUGGAACAUUAAACAGAAAUAUGAAGAGUAUCUUAAAAUGGAUUCAAAUAAAACAAGAACGACGAGGAUAGUCAAAACCAAAAAGUUUACCGAUAUCAACACAGAUAGAAAUGGAAGAUUUUGAAAAAGCGGAUAAUCGAUCGUAUAAAGAAGUUGUAGAUUAUUUGAAAUAUGUUGGAGGAUUUACCAUAAAAGAAGCUGUAAACUUGUCUUUUAAAGAGGCGAUUAAAGACAGCGUCAUGGCCAUAUAUACAUGGUUUGGUCGUGAAGAGUCUAAACCUUUAUGCAACACAAAAAUCGUUACGCCUAUCUAUAGUAUAAUAAUUUAAGUAAUCUAAUGCAAAAUCGAUAUUCCAAAAAUAGUAAUCAAAAAAAUAGUAGAUUUUUACUGAUGCACGAAUUUUAAAGUAAAGUCGAAUUUUUAUUUUUUACUUUGUACUCAAAAAUAAAAUUAAGUUUUAUUUAUUUUAUAGUAAAUACCUUGAAUUUCAGUUGCAUGUAUUUGGUAUACUUGUAUCACAAUAUAUUACAUUUGCUUCAGAGGCCGUUUGCUUCAAUAGAAACUUUGGAAAGCCAAGCCGAGCAGAAUUUCAAACUUACAUGCGAGAGGCUUUACGAUCAUCGAAACAGCGACACUGAACGAGCAGUCGCAUAGAAAAACGACAACGAAAUGAAAAUCCACUUCGACGGAUGUGGGCGGAUGAAGAAAAUGAAGGAGAGGAAGGAGCUGAGAAAAUUCAGAAUGUAGAAGAAAACUCAAACUAGUUUCCCAGACAGCACAAAUAUGUUCUAUGAACAUUCAUAGAAUGACAUCAGAAAAUGUUUGAAUAUUCUUAGAAUAUUCUUACAUGAUGAUUGGAGAUUAUUAUGAACAUCAAUAGAAUAUUCGAAGUAGACAAAAAGUUACGUUUUGAGAACAUUCUAUGAAUAUUAAAUAAACAUUCUCUGUACAUUAAAUGAACAUUUUCAGUAUAUUAAAUGAACUUUCAGAGAACAUUUUGAGUAUUUUUAUUGAAUGUAUAGGAAUAUUCUAUGAAUAUUUUAAUAAGAGGAUAUAGGUAAUAAAAGAAAAUAGAUAGUAGUUUUGAAUGACACAAGUUUAAUCGCUCUCAUAGCAAUUAAUGACGUCAUAUCUUAACCCUUUGCACUCGAGAGGUGAGUCUCACUCACCACGCGAUUUUAUGCCGCAACUCGAGAGGUGACUUUACAUUAUCCUUGUAAACAUGUAAAGAUACAUUAAGUAUUAAAAUAUAAAAGUUUUGUAUGUUACUUUGCGUGUAAUCAUUUUAUGUUAGCGGUAGUAAAGUCACGAAAAGCGCUACGAAACGUCUCGAGUUGCUGGUAGGUCCGCGCGGAAACGGCCUCGAGUGCAAAGGGUUAAUAGAAGAAAGUUGGUUUUAUAUAAAGCAUGUGUUUUGAAUAUAUAUAUGUUCCUAGAACUGUUUUACAUAAAAGAAACCUUCUUAGUAAAUGUGACGUCAUUAAUCGUUCUGAGAAUGAUUAAAUCGAACUUUAAUUAUAUCAUAAAAUUUGAACAUAAAAUAAGAACAAAACCAAAAAUUCAAUACAAUAAAAUAUGUAUAGUUUAAUAAGAUAAAAUAGAAACUUGUUAGAAUAGAUUUAAUCAAAAAACAUUAAUAUAUUAUUUUUGUUGUUUGUGCAUUCUUUCCUUGGCCUUAACCAACCACAUUUUAAUAGCACUUUCAACAUCUGAUGCCGUUGUAUUUGUGUGGAUUGUCAUCACAG